CGUUCUCUCUCCCUCUCCCAACAUGGCGGCCUCAGUGAAAAAGAAGAAUAAGAAGGGGAAGGCUAUCUCCCUGACAGACUUUCUGGCUGAGGAUGGAGGGACUGGUGGAGGCAGCACCUAUGUCCCCAAACCAGUCAGCUGGGCUGAUGAAACAGACGAUCUGGAAGGGGAUGUUUCAACCACUUGGCAUAGUAAUGAUGAUGAAGUGUAUCAGGCACCUCCAAUUGACCGUUCCAUCCUGCCCACUGCUCCACGGGCUGCUCGGGAACCCAGUAUCGACCGGAGCCAUCUUCCCAAAUCUCCACCCUACACUGCUUUUCUAGGGAACCUGCCCUAUAAUGUGACAGAAGACUCCAUUAAGGAAUUCUUUAGAGGAUUAAAUAUCAGUGCGGUGCAUUUACCGCCUGAACCCAGCAAUCCUGAAAGGUUAAAAGGUUUUGGUUAUGCUGAGUUUGAGGACCUGGAUUCCUUGCUCAGUGCCCUGAGCCUCAACGAAGAGUCUCUAGGUAACAGGAGAAUUCGAGUGGACGUUGCUGAUCGAGCACAGGAUAAAGACAGGGAUGAUCAUUCUUUUGGCCAAGAUAGAAAUAGUGAUACUGACAAAACAGAUACCGACUGGAGGGCCCGUCCUGCUGCAGACAGCUUUGAUGACUACCCGCCUAGAAGGGGUGAUGAUAGCUUUGGAGACAAGUAUCGAGAUCGUUACGAUUCAGACCGAUAUCAUGAUGGGUAUCGGGACAGUUACCGUGAUGGCCCAUGCCGGGACAUGGAUCGAUACGGGGGCCGAGAUCACUAUGAUGACCAAGGUGGCAGAGACUAUGACAGAGGCUACGAUUCCAGGAUAGGCAGUGGCAGAAGAGCGUUCGGUAGCGGGUACCGUAGGGAUGAUGACUACAGAGGAGGCGGGGACCGCUAUGAAGACAGAUAGGACAGACGAGAUGACCGGUCCUAGAGCUCCAGAGAUGAUUACUCUCGGGAUGAUUAUAGGCGGGAUAAUAGAGGUCCCCCCCAAAGGCCCAAACUGAACCUAAAGCCUCGGAGCACUCCUAAGGAAGAUGAUUCCUCCGCUAGCACCUCCCAGUCCAGUCGGGCAGCCUCUAUCUUUGGAGGGGCAAAGCCUGUUGACACAGCUGCUGGAGAACGAGAAGUAGAAGAGCGGCUACAGAAGGAACAAGAGAGACUGCAGCAUCAGCUGGAUGAGCCAAAACUAGAACGACGGCCUCGGGAGAGGCACCCAAGCUGGCAAAGUGAAGAAACUCAGGAACAGGAACGAUCGAGGACAGGAAGUGAGUCAUCACAGACUGGGACCUCAGCCACAUUUGGCAGAAAUGCACGAAGAAGAGAGAGUGAGAAGUCUCUAGAAAAUGAAACCCCCAAUAAAGAGGAAGACUGUCAGUCUCCAACUUCUAAGCCUCCCAAACCUGAACAGCCUCUAAAGGUAAUGCCAGCCCCUCCACCAAAGGAGAAUGCUUGGGUGAAGCGAAGUUCUAACCCUCCUGCUCGAUCUCAGAGCUCAGACACAGAGCAGCAGUCCCCUACAAGUGGUGGAGGGAAAGUAGUUCCAGCUCAACCACCUGAGGAGGGAUAGGCAAGGAAAGAUGAAAAUAAAAUAGAUGGGGUAAGUGCCCCAAAAGGCCAAAGUGGGAACUCCAGCCGUGGUCCCGGAGAUGGAGGGAACAAAGACCACUGGAAGGAGUCAGAUAGGAAAGAUGGCAAAAAGGAUCAUGACUCCAGAUCUGCACCUGAGCCAAAGAAAGCUGAAGAAAAUCCAGCCUCGAAGUUCAGUUCUGUCUGCAAGCAAAUAUGCUGCUCUUGCCAGAUGGUGAAGAUGAAAAUGAGGGAGAUUACACUGAAUAG